GAUGAACGCUGGCGGCGUGCCUAAUACAUGCAAGUCGAGCGAACAGAUAAGGAGCUUGCUCCUUUGACGUUAGCGGCGGACGGGUGAGUAACACGUGGAUAACCUACCUAUAAGACUGGGAUAACUUCGGGAAACCGGAGCUAAUACCGGAUAACAUAUUGAACCGCAUGGUUCAAUAGUGAAAGGCGGCUUUGCUGUCACUUAUAGAUGGAUCCGCGCCGUAUUAGCUAGCUGGUAAGGUAACGGCUUACCAAGGCAACGAUACGUAGCCGACCUGAGAGGGUGAUCGGCCACACUGGAACUGAGACACGGUCCAGACUCCUACGGGAGGCAGCAGUAGGGAAUCUUCCGCAAUGGGCGAAAGCCUGACGGAGCAACGCCGCGUGAGUGAUGAAGGUCUUCGGAUCGUAAAACUCUGUUAUCAGGGAAGAACAAAUGUGUAAGUAACUGUGCACAUCUUGACGGUACCUGAUCAGAAAGCCACGGCUAACUACGUG
rnacentral:rRNA from 1 species